rnacentral:misc_RNA from 1 species
AAGUCGUAACAAGGUUUCCGUAGGUGAACCUGCGGAAGGAUCAUUAACACGUAUCCACGUAUCAACCCCAUGUGCUCUUUUGGUCUCGUACCCUGCUAGUGAAGAAGUUGGAUUGAUUUCAGGCUGAAUGGUGAGGUCUUCGGACCCGGCUUGGUCUUUCUGUGUGCUUUUUCAUUAUGCUAGCAGGCUUUUUCCGUUCUUUCUCACCACUGAGAACGUAAAAAACAUUUAUUUAACAUUUAACCCAUUGUACCUUUUUGUUACUGAAUCAAAUGUUUAACCAAACUUCACUGUUUGUGUUGACCAAAUGAUACGAAACGCUUGACAACUCUUAACAACGGAUAUCUUGGCUCUC